rnacentral:tRNA from 2 species
GCCACCAUAGCUCAGCUGGCAGAGCGGGCGUUUCGUAAACGUCAGGUCGUGGGUUCGAAUCCCACUGGUGGCU